rnacentral:lncRNA from 1 species
UUUCUCCUUCCCAGUUGUCAAGGUCAAACCUGGGCUGGAUAUUGUGAUGUCACAGAGUGGAAUCCUCACUCCUCCAGAUGGUCCAGCUGAGGCCCUCUUGGACAACACUUCCUCUCCUGCCCAUGGUGGGAGGUUGGGAAGGACAUUCCCCCAUUUCCAUUUGCUCUGCCAUUCAAAACCUUGUGAGGGCCCUCAGGGAAGAAUCCCUUUGCAGGUCAUAAACUGACCUGCAGAAUUAUGGGAUCUUAACUGUGGGGAGAGACCUAGAAGACCGGCUAGUGACCAGAUUCUCAUCUAACUCCUUUUUUUUUGCAGAUGAGGAAACUGAGGCCCCACGUGGUGAAGACAAUUUUUACCCGAAUCCACCCACAACAAGAGACCAUUUGGAUAAUGUACAUUAUGGGAAGAGAACAGAGUCUCAGUGAAGAUCAUGUUUCCCCAGCAACACAGGUGCCAGGAGUAGCUGGCUCUGGUCCCAGCCCAGACUCAGAAAUCCUGAGCCACCAGACCAUUUCUAGAUUAACAAUGACCCACUGGAAACCAGUGUCAGCAUAACAACAGUUACGAGAGCUAAACCUACAAAAUAGAAACACAAGUAAAACUUGUUCAAGUGGUUUGCAGUCAUUGAACAUAGAUCAGCUCCUAUGAAAACAAACUCCAUGGGUUUUCUUUGAUGGCAGUUCUGCUCUAAAGAUGGAUAAGGAAGGAGGUUCCAAGAUGGCCGAAUAGGAACAGCUCCAGUCUACAGCUCCCAGCAUGAGCAACGCAGAAGACAGGGGAUUUCUGCAUUUCCAAUUGAGAACACAGGAGCUAUGUGGAGAGUUGAUGGAGGGACAUUCCAGGCAGAGAGAACAGCAAACACAAAGGCCUUGAAGGGAGCGGUGGCUUACAUCUGCAAUCCCACCACUUUGGGAGGCUGAGGCAGGUGGAUUGCUUGAUCUCAGGAGUUCGAGACCAGCCUGGGCAAUGUGGUGAAACCCAGUCUCUACCAAAAAAUACAAAAAUUAGCCGGGCAUGGUGAGCAUGCCUCUGGUCCCAGCUACCCAGGAGGCUGAGGUGGGAGAAUCACUUGAGCCUAGAAGGUCAAGGCUGCAGUGAGCCGUGAUUGAGCCACUGCAUUCCAGCCUGGGUGAUAGGGCUCAACACCACAUGGAAGCUGCCAAGGCUUGGGGCUCGCACCAUCUGAAGACAUGGUCUGAACUCUACGUUGGCCCUUUCAGCCAUGGCUGGAGCAGCUGGAACGCAGGGCAUCAAGUCUCUUGGCUGCACACAGCUCAGGGAAGCUGGACCUGGCCCAUGAAACCACUUUUUCUUCCUAUGCCUCCAGACCUGUGAUGGGAGGAGCUGCCAUGAAGACCUCUGACAUGCCCUAGAAACAUUUUCCCCAUUGUCUUAGGGAUUAACAUUCUGUGCCUUGUUGCUUAAGUAAAUUUCUGCCUCAUUGUCAGGCUGCAAAUUUUCUAAACUUU